rnacentral:rRNA from 1 species
AUGGCAAAGGUUAGAACUCUCAAAUUUGGUCUAACAUUGGCGCAAAGGACGGGAUGCAAUCACAUUAUCGUAAAUUCGGAUAAUAUGGAGGUGAUUGACUCUAUGAAUGAUGGAGGGCAGUCGGCGGGUGCGGCGGCAGCAAUCUUCGAAGACUGUUUUCAUUAUGCCUGUGAUUUCGUUACCGCUAGAUUUGAGCACUGUAAUAGGGAAGCAAAUAAAGUAGCUCAUGAGCUUGCUAGAUCAGCUAAAUUUUCUUUGACUUCUGAUUGGUUUGAGGAGCCUUUAAACGAAAUUGUAAUGUUCCUCAUAAACAAUGUACUACUUAUUACAAAUGAAUAA